rnacentral:lncRNA from 1 species
UUUGAUAUAUGGUCCUGCCCCAAUUGGCUUGCCUUUUUUUGUUUGUGAGUAUUAUUGCAUUUCACUUUCGGGCUGUUUUUAUAGGAAGCACUUUUGUUUAUAAGAACGUCAAUUUUUUUUUAAUCCAAAUGCUUUCAUACUUGGAAGUACUUCAUUAUGACCCAUAAGCACUUUUAAAAUUCUCUGCUAAAUGCAGUUGGAAGCGUUUUUCAUUGUUAAAUACACUUUCAACCAUUUCAGAAGCCCACCGUAAUAGAGAAAUUGAAAUGCAUAUGGUGGGGCUCAUCUGCUUUCAUGUUUUCAUCCCCAACUUGCAUUGGAUUUCUUGCAUUGCC